CCCUCCCCCUGGUGAUGGUCUCUCCCUUCCCCAGGCGGAAGCCGAGGCGGAGGCCGGCUCCCGGCCCGGCGCGCUGGUGCUGCGUCUCUACGAGUCCCACGGCAGCUCGGUGGUCACCUGGCUCCAGACCCCGAUCCCGCUGCGAGAGGCUCUUCUCUGUGAUCUCCUGGAGCGCCCGGCCCCCGGUUGGCCCCUGCCCGUGGAGGGCUGCCGCCUGAAGCUCUCCUUCUCCCCCUUCCAAAUCCUGACGGUGCGCCUCACCCUGCAGCCAGUGGACCCUCGGUCCUGACUCCCAGGCGGCAGCAAACGGACCGGCCUGCUCCAUGGCCUCUCCGGCUGGGGUAAUGAUGGGGAGUCCUGCUGCCCCCGGAUUGGGUGUGGCGUGAGAGCCGGCCCCCUCCCUCUCCUGUAGCCGCCCUUGGCUUCGGGAAGGAAAUAGCAGUGGGCUCAGGGCAGCUCCAGGCGCUGCUGGGUCCGGUCAACUGCCAACCCGCAGGGGGAUCGGGUGGUGCUUCUACCGGCCCCCCUUGCUCGAGCCGCAUCUCAGGUACAGGGAGCCGGCCCUCCUUCCCGGAAGACACCUUGACUUCCAGCCCAGCCAAGGGCCAAAACCAUGGCCUGAUAGUCCCUGUUGCGCUCCCCAGGGCCUCCAUCCCAACUGCAGGGCAGCUGUGGCCAGCUGGGGCCCCUCCCAAUGUGGCAGAGAGGUGGCAUGGGGGCCCUGCUGUGGGUGGGCACAACUCAGUCCAAUAAAGCGAUUACUCAGAAGCUCUCUCACCUUC